rnacentral:rRNA from 1 species
GAUGAACGCUGGCGGCGUGCCUAAUACAUGCAAGUCGAGCGAACGGACGAGAAGCUUGCUUUUCUGAUGUUAGCGGCGGACGGGUGAGUAACACGUGGAUAACCUACCUAUAAGACUGGGAUAACUUCGGGAAACCGGAGCUAAUACCGGAUAAUAUUUUGAACCGCAUGGUUCAAAAGUGAAAGACGGUCUUGCUGUCACUUAUAGAUGGAUCCGCGCUGCAUUAGCUAGUUGGUAAGGUAACGGCUUACCAAGGCAACGAUGCAUAGCCGACCUGAGAGGGUGAUCGGCCACACUGGAACUGAGACACGGUCCAGACUCCUACGGGAGGCAGCAGUAGGGAAUCUUCCGCAAAGGGCGAAAGCCUGACGGAGCAACGCCGCGUGAGUGAUGAAGGUCUUCGGAUCGUAAACCUCUGUUAUUAGGGAAGAACAUAUGUGUAAGUAACUGUGCACAUCUUGACGGUACCUAAUCAGAAAGCCACGGCUAACUACGUG